GGCUGUGAAACGGAUAAAAGAAUAAUUGCAUUGGUUGCAUGGAAAAAGGUCAUAAACUUGAAUAUUAAUGGAGGUCUUGGAAUUGAAAGCCUUCAAUCACUUAACCUAGCUCUCCUCUCAAAAUAGUGGUGGUUGUUUAAGAAAGGGGAAGGAUCUUUAUGGCACGAUGUAGUAAAAUCCAUUCAUGGUCCAAGAUAGGAAACUUGGGUUUUGUCGGUCAGCUGCAAACAGAAGAGGAACAUAAGGGACGACCAACAACAUCAAUAAAGCUCUUGACCUCGAAAAUAUAGAUCUUAGAAACAUGUUUUACAUAACUGAUGAAGCCUGGGAAUUGGGCCUUGAAGAUGACAGGAAAUUCACAGUUUCUUCCAUGAUAAAGCUUAUAGAUUGCCACUCUUGAACGUUUGGAUUAUCAUACUUACCGGAACAAGUCGACUCCCAGUAGAGCAAAUGUACUGUUUUGGAGAAUAAGGUUGGGUUGUUUACCAACCUUGGAGAAUUUGGCAGUGAGAAGCUCUCAAAUCAGAUACACGCAUUACCCUUUGUGGCAUAGUUAUGAGGAGACGGAGAACCAUAUGUUUACUAAGGGGCUGUUUGGUAGCCUCUUAAUUGGAAAAUUAAGAGGCAUCCUCUUAUUUUUUCAGAUUAAGUGUGUUUGGUAACAUCUUAAUAAAAGCCUCUUAAUUUAACAAAAGCCUCUUAUUUUUUCAGAUGUAGAACCAAGUCUGAAUUAAAAAAAAAAAAAAAAAAGAUUCCUAUUUGCCCCUAAUAGCGUUUCAACAACCUUCCCUCUUCACUUCUUUCUACUCCAUCGAUGAUACUCCUCCGAUCUGCAACCAUCUCCUGCCUCCCUCCUCCAGCAACGCCGACGCCGGUAACGACACCGAUACCACCACCAACAGUUAUGUGCUUUGGCAUUCCUCAAUAAUCAUCGUCCCCCAGUGAUUAGAAAUUUAGAACCUUAGAAGUGUUCCGCAACCUUCCCUCUUCCCUCCGCUAACACUCCGCCACCAAUCAGUCAUCGUCUCCACCAGCAUUGCCAACGCUUCCAUCCAGCUCUGUCAAACUCGUCGUCAGCAACCAUUAAAAAGCCAUCAAGUUUCAUUAUGGUGUUUUUUUUCUGCAUACAUGAGGCCGAGGGGCAUGAGCUCAGGAAGCUGUGAAGACUUUGAAGCACAAAAAGUGUAGACUUUGAAGUACAAAAAGAAUGUAGCAAUAGAUUUGCAAGUAAGAGAUUGUGGUCAUUAGAUGAUUAUUCUUGAAUUGGUUUAAUUUCUGGUUGUUAUGAUGGUCUUUAGAAUAGCAACAUUUUUCCAUUCCCAUGUUCAAGAACAUAUAUGAUUGUAUUUGUAUACAUUAUUUUAUUAAUUUUGUAUUGAUAAAGAUCUUUCCUAGUUUUAUAA